GUGUCAUCGACACGGUAGAACGCACGACAUUGCUCACAUUGCUUCCAGUAUUAUUUAGCCAGCCGGGUGCUGGCUUUUUUUU
rnacentral:antisense_RNA from 1 species